UAUUAAAAAUUUCAUCAAUUUCUAAUGUUAAAAACUGACAUGACUGACAAAAUAACCAGACAGUUACGCAUGGGAUGCCACGCUAUCUCAUUUUGGCGUAUAGGGACAAAUUUUUAAUAAUAGAAAUGAAUGAAAUUUUUAACA
rfam:Gossypium raimondii Chr08_contig_743, whole genome shotgun sequence.